rnacentral:tRNA from 2 species
GGGCUCGUAGCUCAGUGGUUAGAGCGGUCGGCUCAUAACCGAUUGGUCGCAGGUUCGAAUCCUGCCGAGCCCACCA